CGAUUUGCCACAAAAAUGACAAAUAUGUCGAUAAAUGCAUGACACCGAAUAAACGCAUCAAUCGUACCACAUCGCUUACGUCAGUUGAUAUAUAUCUUCGACCUGAUGUGGCACUGCAAUCAUCACUUUUUAUCACCUUUAUUGCGAACAAAAAAUUCAACGUCGAGUACAGACCGUACAUGGUUAACUUAAAAUAUGAUCUGUGUGACAUGUUCAAGUACCGAAAUAAUCCCCUGUUCAAACUUGCAUUCGAAAUGACGAAUAAAAGUGCAAGUAAUAUGUUCGAUCCAUGUCCGUUGAAGGGACACAGAUUUAUAGAUCCUUACUACACCAGUUAUGACUCAGUACCGAUGAUGCCAGGUGUAGCUGGUUUGUGGAGGUGGGACGUAAUAGUUACAGUCGAAUCGGAUAAGAAAAGCGACGAAGUUUUGAAAUUGCAGGAUUUUUAUGAAGUUACAGAGC